AAAUCUAUCUUAUCUUAAAAGAAUGCACCCUCUUCAUUUUUUAAAAAGGAUCAUUUUAAAGCUGCUGAGGGUUUUCCAAACAAAAGAAAAACUGUCUUGGCAAAACCGCAUCAAAUUUCAGAGACCAAAGAAGCUGAUGAAAGUGAUCCGGAUGCUCAAGGGUGAGGUCUGGGAGUGGGAGGGCCUUAUCCUGCUGUUUGAGAGAAUAUCUACGUUGGGGACUUGGAAAUCUGUUUCACUGUAAUGGUGGAAAACCAGCAGUAAUUCUGAAAAAAAUAUGGUUGCUGCAACCAGGAAAAGCAGAUUUCAAAGUACAAAGCAAGUCACCACAGGCAAUGCCAGUGAGGCAUUCCAGUGACACCAGAGCCCUUGAACAAAGCUGGAGCCCAGGUGACCUCCACAGGGCCCACUCCAGCAUUACUCCCUUUUUCAGGAUGAACAUUUGGGCUUUUACCCUGUGAAUGUGCCAGGCUCCACAAGGCCAAGGUCAGUCCCUCAGCCCUCCUGGAACACCCUGAUCUUUUCUAGGUACAAGUUUGCACGAUUCUAGGUACGAGUUUGCAGGAUGACCUCAGGUGGCUGGAGGGAAGAGAGCAGGAGCAGGACUAAAGAGAAAGGCAAUUCUUGGGGUCCAUUUCUUGAGACUGAUUCUUAGGAAAGAAAAAGAAAAAGCCACAGCAUAGUUUGCUUUCCUGUCCAUUUUCCCCUGAAAAGUAAUACUAUCCAUAACUAAGUGUAGGGCAAGAGGAGAAUUGACCUGCUAGUUAAGGCUGCCUCCUCUCCUCAGGGGAUCAUGAGCUUUGACCAGGAUAACCAGCUCGUUUUAGAGCACAUUAAGCACUAGACAGGGUAACAAACAGCUUCCUUUCAAAGCGUAAGAAAGCAAAAUGACAAAGUGGCCUGAGGUGGAAAAGCAAUGAUCAGAAACAUUAAAAAUAAUAGCAGCUGACAGAUGACAUUUAGGACCAGGGACCUCAUCCUCUGCUGGUUAUUAAUAUUCCUGCUCUCCUAUUAUCUUUUUGACGGGAAUGUAAACUCCGUUUGUCUUGGGAUAAACGCGAUACCAGAGCUGAGCAGAUAAGGAGGCGCUUAAUACGUAAUUGUUGGUGUAAACAAAUAAAUAGAUUGUAACGAUGUCAGAAAUGAUUAGUUCAGGUGGAGAGUGCGACUGGCUUCCAAAUAUUGGUCAAGAGCUCUAAGUAGGAUGAGCCAAGGAUACAGUUAAUGUAAUAGGUUCACACGAUCAGGUGACUUUUUUGGGUCUAGAAAUCUGAGGAGGUGACGAUGUACUGAACGGCAGUCUUCCUGCGAGGAAAGAGUUAAAAACACAUCCAGAUCAGGGUUUCUGAGGGACAAGGUGUUCAGCAGGGCUGAGGGCCUCCCUUUCUGCCGGCUGCUCCCCCACGCAGCAGGGGUGAUGCGGACCUUCCGGUCCUGCUGAGUGUGCUUGACCAAAGGUGACGAUGACUAAGGGCUAAGGCCGUGCCCUCCCUCCCUCCAAAUCGAUCCUUUAAUGUGACUUAUCAGAAAGAGAAAGAACUGUUUACUUUCAAACCCUGGAUCCCAUAAAGGGAGAGGGGCAAGGCCUAAAACCCUCACAAGCUCGAGGCUUGGCCCACACAGCCUGCAGAACUAGGGAGCGCGGAAGACACCAUCUCACGGGCACAGAAGGGGCCCUGGGCCCAGAGAAGACCUUCGCACACUGCAAGGUAAGUGCCACCCCCACCCCCAACCCCCCACCCCCCACAUUCCAGCGCCUUCCAACUCCCCUGUGUGAAUUAGGCUGUUCCUCUGGGGCACCACUGACUUCCAGAUGUGGGGUGAGCUGCGACCCAGGUGUUUAUAAAAAGACAUUCCCCGCUCCACCCCCACCCCCGGAGCUAUGUGCUGUGUUCUCUGCACAUUUGAAUUUGUCUGCCAUGGUUAUUCUAUUUCUUCAGAAAGCCUGAGAAAACUGGAGUCUUUGCUAAAGCUUCUUCUCUCCCCAGAGGAAGGAAAGGAUGAGGCUAGGGAGGAGUCUACACCUGGAGGUGGCGUGGAUUUUUAGUUCCGGCCUUGGAGGAGCUGUGUAGGAAGCCAUUUCCGGUUUAACGAUGGCCUGACUUCACAAUAAACACCAAGAUUCCACCAUUAGGAUACUUAGAAUUUGAAGGUUCAUUUGACCAGGAAUCCUCCCCUCCCCAUGCUUGGGAGCAGGCACAGCCCCAAGGCUCACUCUAUUUUGUUCCUCUACUCCUGAAACACCAGCAUCGGACUUGUUUCUCUGUCCCCCUGGUAUUGGUCCCUCGACAGCACUGGAAAUAGCUGGACAACCGCACAGAAAUGAAACCAGUUCCUAGGAAUCCCCCAGCCUCAGCAACUCUCUUUAAAAAGGGUCCGUUGAGACCCCAGCUUGGCUGAGAAUAUGCCCCAGGAUCCCCUCUUGGCUGGAGGUAAUGGUGUAACAGAUGUGGCAUAAGCUUUCCAGAUUUCCCCUUCUAGCUGAAUUUCAAUCAGAAAAGAAAGACUUCCCUGCUCCCUAUUGAGGAGAACAUUCUAUUUUAAAAUUUUCAUGUGCUUUCAAAAUGACAAGACUCAGGCAUAUGCUACUGACUUGCUUUGUCUUCUAGACUAUAAUAGCCUCUAAGAAUCAAACGGAUGCAUUUAACACAUCUAACUGCAAUGACAGAAAAUGUGGAUUUGGAAUUAAGAAAAAGCACAUCCAUUUAUCAUUUGCUUUUUAAGAAUCUUUUUUAGGUGCUGAAGGGUUAGGUUGGCAGCAAAGUGACACUUCACUUCCCCAAAGCAUUCUUUUCUCAGCCCUCUGGAGGUGGCCCUAGAAUGUUCUCAGACCCUGGGAAACAAAAUCUGAAAGCGAAGAUGAGCUGCUUGUGCCCCGAUCUGACCUGAGAUAGCAUAGGGAGUUUUAUGAUGUUCUUGGUACUUGCGAAUCUGAAAUAUCUUCCGAGGAGCUGUGAUGCACACGGAACACUCACAAGAGUAAUGAAAGCCUGAAGCAUCCAGGGCCCUCCUGGAGCAGCAGAGGGGAGCUCAGACGCCGCGAUAAGAUUCUGGGAAGUGAAAUGGGCUCAAGAUCUCGACCACUAGAGAGCUCUCCAAGGAUGCCCUACCAGGACCUUUGUCACUGGUGAACUGUUUCCUCCCCAAGAUUCUUUCCAGCUGAGCUAAGAGAUUUCUGGAGCCUCUCGCCAUGGUCAGAACAUCUCUUGAAUGACCAGGAAAUGGGGCUUCCUGUUUAAAUCUCUCGGGCAGAGACAAGGCAGAUGAGCCUGCCUAAGUCUUUAGAAAGAGCUGUAGGGAAGACCAGAGAUGGCUCAUCAUGCCAGGAUGUCCACUGUGGCCGCACCCAGUGUGCCAGAGGUCUAUGGCAGCGAUAGGGGUUACCUGGGAAUCUAGGGUUGGUAUUCGGUGUGAGUCUUGGUGAAAGUGCCCAGGGGAAAAGUUCCCCUGAAGACAGUGAGUCUAACAGUGGCCAAGUGGCACCUUCCUGCUGCCUGGCACACCUGUAAAGGUGAGCCAGGGUCACAGACAGGAGCUGGAGGAUGUCAGUCACAAACAAAUCAAAAUAGUGAAACAGAAAACAAGGGGCUGAUGCUGCACAGUUAAAACAUAUAUAUGUUAUAGAUCUUGAUAGAACUGGAAAGAAAAAAAAAAAAAAAAAAAGGCAGGAUCAACACUCCAGUCCCAUGGAAGCCGAGUGGCUUUCGUGGUGUGUUAACAACGGCACAGUCCAGGCUAAAGAGGGUGGUUUCAUGUUGAAUAAGGGGUAUUUUUACUAAAAAAAAAAAAAAAAAAA
rnacentral:lncRNA from 1 species